CCUACGGGGGGCUGCAGUAACGAAUCUUCCGCAAUGCACGAAAGUGUGACGGAGCGACGCCGCGUGUGGGACGAAGCCCUUCGGGGUGUAAACCACUGUCAGGGGAAAGAAAGUUCUGAUCUACCCCAGAGGAAGAGGCGGCUAACUCUGUGCCAGCAGCCGCGGUAAUACAGAGGCCUCGAGCGUUAGGCGGAAUCACUGGGCUUAAAGCGUGUGUAGGCGGACUUCUAAGUACCUUGUGAAAUCCCACGGCUCACCCGUGGAACUGCUUGGUAUACUGGUUGUCUUGAGCCUUCUAGGGGCGAGUGGAACAAAUGGUGGAGCGGUGAAAUGCGUAGAUAUCAUUUGGAACGCCAAUGGUGAAAACAACUCGCUGGGGAAGUGCUGACGCUGAGACACGAAAGCCAGGGGAGCGAACGGGAUUAGAUACCCUUGUAGUC
rnacentral:rRNA from 1 species